rnacentral:rRNA from 1 species
UACGAGGGGGCGAGCGUUGUUCGGAAUUAUUGGGCGUAAAGGGUGCGUAGCGGCUUUGGUAAGUCUUGUGUGAAAUCGUCCAGGCUCAACUUGGAGUCGUGCACGAGAAACUGCCGGGCUAGAGUAUCGGAGAGGUUGGUGGAAUUCUCGGGUGUAGAGGUGAAAUUCGUAGAUAUCGAGAGGAACACCGGUGGCGAAGGCGGCCAACUGGACGAAUACUGACGCUGAGACUCGAAAGCGUGGGGAGCAAACAGG